rnacentral:rRNA from 1 species
CAGCCGUAAACUAUGCGCGUUAGGUGUAUCGGUGACCACGAGUUACCGAGGUGCCGAAGGGAAACCGUGAAACGUGCCGCCUGGGAAGUACGGUCGCAAGGCUGAAACUUAAAGGAAUUGGCGGGGGAGCACCACAACAGGUGGAGCCUGCGGUUUAAUUGGACUCAACGCCGGGAAGCUCACCGGAUAGGACAGCUGAAUGAUUGUCAAUCUGAAGGUUUUACAUGACUAGCUGAGAGGAGGUGCAUGGCGUCAGUGACU